AUUGAACGCUGGCGGCAGGCCUAACACAUGCAAGCCGAGCGGUAACAGGACUAGCUUGCUAGUUGCUGACAAGCGGCGGACGGGUGCGUAACACGUAGGAAUCUACCCAGUAGCGGGGGAUAGCCCGGAGAAAUCCGGAUUAAUACCGCAUACGCCCUACGGGGGAAAGCAGGGGAUCUUCGGGCCUUGCACUAUUGGAUGAGCCUGCGUCGGAUUAGCUUGUUGGUGAGGUAAAGGCUCACCAAGGCGACGAUCCGUAGCUGGUCUGAGAGGAUGAUCAGCCACACUGGGGCUGAGACACGGCCCAGACUCCUACGGGAGGCAGCAGUGGGGAAUAUUGCACAAUGGGCGAAAGCCUGAUGCAGCCAUGCCGCGUGUGUGAAGAAGGCUCUAGGGUUGUAAAGCACUUUCAGCGAGGAGGAAAGGUUGAUGAUUAAUACUCAUUAGCUGUGACGUUACUCGCAGAAGAGGCACCGGCUAACUCCGUGCCAGCAGCCGCGGUAAUACGGAGGGUGCAAGCGUUAAUCGGAAUUACUGGGCGUAAAGCGUGCGUAGGCGGCUUGCUAAGUUGGAUGUGAAAGCCCCGGGCUCAACCUGGGA
rnacentral:rRNA from 1 species